AUUGUAGGCAAAUUCUGGGUUAGUCAUUGAGCAAUAUAAUUGUCAGGGACCUCAAAAACCUGGAGAGUAAAUUAGAGGAAGGAAUUAACAAGAUUUGUUCCAAAAAGGUAUUUGAAUUUUAGUUAGGAUACAUGACUUUUGAGAGAAUUUAUUGCUAAACAUCUAAAGAACUUAACAUUAAAAAAGGGGGGAAAUUUCGUCUGUCUUACUAUCUAUAUUUAAUUUAGGACAAUACUUAGAGCAAUACUUAUUAAGGUUACGUAUAAUUGAUAAGAUCUCUGAGGUAUAAAGUGGCAUAUGAAAUGAAAUGACACAUUAUAGCUUUAUGGAUGCAUGCUUAUUUUUUCUUCAAUUUUUACAUGCCAUUUUGUCUUGAAUUGUUCAUCGUUCUUCUGUGUUUUGAUUCUUUAUAAUAGUGUAAUUCUUCGUGAUAACUUACUACCCUCCAAAAUUUUCCUGGAAUCUAUGAAGACAAAGCAUCCACAGCUUCAUUAUGAAUCAAAUAUAUAUGCUUCUUCAAGAAGGGACUGGGAUUCUCCACCUAAAGUGGUUUGGAGUUGAAGGAGACUACAACAUUAUGGCUAUUGACCUUCUUUGACCAAGCUUGGAAGAUUUAUUCAAUUAUUGCAACAGGAAAUUUACACUGAAGACAGUGUUAAUGCUUGCUGAUCAAUUAAACUGAUGAGGUAAUCAACACUCAAUUGACGGUUUCUCAGUAAAUUUAUCAAAAAUGGGUCAAGCAUUUUUCUCCAUAUUUUAGCUUGAAACAGAGGUUGUU